GCCACUGCGCCCGGCCUGAAGCUCUUUCUUAAUGAGAGCAGGCAGCUCUCAGUGGCUUGGGAUUGAAUCAUUUCCUUGAUGGUGUAUCUAAUCACAGGGGAGGUUGCAGUUGCCUGUAGUCUCUUUCUGGGGGACUUGGGAUCACUUCUCAGUCCAUCUAAUUAGAGGAAAUAAUCUCCAAGUGGAAUUUACUGUUGGUUAAUAAUGCCAUGAAUAGAUGGUUGGGAGCUAUUUUUUAGUUUGUGUAAAAUGCUGGUGUUUGUAUACUGGUUUUGGUUACAAAAAUGAGGUGCUGGCCAAAGAGAGACACUAUUAUGGAGGCCGGCAAGAACACCUCUGUUCAUUCACACCCCCAGGGGUACCAGAAUCUGGAUCUGCUCUGUGCAUAUCCAAUGUGCCUUUCUUCUCGUCAAGUUAGGGUUCAUCAGGUAAUUCUGGACAAGUACACACUGGACAUAGAACUAAAUCAAGCAAUCAAAUACUCAUUUCCUGCCUGUGACAUGCUUUGGUACUGUGCAAAAUCAUUUAAAAUUAGUUUCUCUUCCCUUCAUAAAUUUAUAGGGUGUCUGAGGAAAGAGGACUAACACACACCUUGGAAUGACUAUAUUUAAUUUGUUAUAAGGACUGAAAAAGAGAAAGAUCAGGCUGGGCACGGGGGCUCAUGCCUGUAAUCCGAGCACUUUGGGAGGCCGAGGUGGGUGGAUCACUUGAGGUCAGGAGUUCGAGACCAGCCUGGCCAACAUGGUGAAACCUCAUCCCUACAAAAAAAUACAAAAAUUAGCUGGGAGUGGUGGCGGAUGCCUGUAAUCCCAACUACUCGAGAGACUGAAGCAGAAUUGCUUGAACAUGGGAGGUGGAGGUUGCAGUGAGCCGAGAUCGUGCCACUGUACUCUAGCCUGGGCAACAGAGCAAGACUCUAUUUUGGGGAAAAAAAAAAAAAAAAGAGAAGAAUCAGUGUGGAUUGGACUCCGUAGUGCUUUGUGCCAGAUGUGAGAUUUGAAUGGAGCCUUGAAGGUUGAGAAAGAAUCUGAUAUAACCACUGUCUCCUCCCUUUCGAAGGCACACCACACACUUUGGGCUCAGUUAGUGGUUAUAGAUGCCUUCAGUGCAUUCCAGGAGCAAGCAUUUAUUGUUUUCCUAUUAUAUGCCUGACUUUGGAGAUGCAAAGAAGAACAAGGUCACUGUUUUAUGAAUGGCCGAUUUUAUUCUCCCUGAUGUGGCCAGCUGCAAGCUUCAAAGGGUGGCAUAUACAAAUAAUUAUAGGCUGGUGGGACAAGAGCUAAUGGCGAGAUGUCCAAAGAUCUGUGGGAUCGCCAAGCAGCAGUCAGGGGAAGACAUCAGAUCUUUAUAAAGAUUUUGCUCAAAUGUCGUGUUCUUUAGAAGCAAUUGGGCUCCAUCAAGCAGACAACAUGGGGAAAUUCAAUGCAAUUCAAGAAACAUGUAUUGAUUACCUACUCUGUGCACUGGGAUAUAAAGACAUCAUCAUCAUCAACAGUGUUGCUGUAUUCCAAGGACAUAAUUUUACAUGUAUUAUUUUAUUUAAUCAUAAACAACUUCAAUGAUACAGGUGUUUAUUAUUAUCUCUAUUUAGGUAACACAUUCAACCUUUAGAGAAUUUCGAUAACCUGCCCUUUCACACUUAGCUGGUACGGAAUAGGUCUUGGAAUGGGACCUAGAUCUCUGAGCCCUCGAUGUCCACACUUUUCACCAGUACCCUGGUCCCCUUGCUCAGAGAGCACCUAGAAAAGAUCUGUAAGCAAAGAAUUGCAAUACAAGGGUUGAUGCAAUGUAUGUAAAGGUAGAAUUUGGCAUUAAGUAUAAGUAGGAAGAAGUCAUUAUGGUUUCUUUUUUUCUGGGUGAGAGGUGAAAACACUUCUGUAAGAAUAUUUCCAUUUUUGCAAAAACGUGGGUAGGUAUCUAUCCUAAUGGUAAUACUCAGUAAUGGCAUUGGAUUUCAUUUUAGCCUAUUAAAUGAUUUGAUUCUGCAUGAGAGCAUUUCCUUAGAGUUUUGAUAUCUGGAGUUCUGAACAGCUCACUGGUUUUGGUGGAAAAUUGACUAUUAAUAUUUUAUAGGCUUGUUUUGAUCAUUUGUGAUGCUAAGUGAAUCACAUCUAUUCAUAGCUCCAAGUUUUCAAAUUCUGAAAUCUUUUAGAAUUGUCUGGUUAAAACCAGUUCUCUUCUUUCAGUUCAUUAGCUUACCAAGUGAGCCAAAAAUAAAGAAAAUCGAAAUAUAUUUUCCAAUUCAAUCUAGAAAGUUAUUUAUAGUUACCCACUGUUAUCUCUUUCUUUAAAAAAUUUUCUCUUUUCUUUUUAUUUCCCCCCCUCUCUUCCUGAGAGGGUUAUAAACACUGUGAAUAUUUUACAUCUAAAUGCUAAAUCCUCUCAAGCUUUUUUGGAAUCUAUAUCAGGUGCCAGAUUGUCAUAAUAACAUUUUAUGAAAUACUGUGAAUAAACAAACAAACCAAGAGUUAGCUCUUCAAAGCCAGUGGUUCAUAGGCUUUAUCCAGUACCUGGUGAACAUCCACUUGGCCAGCCUCUGACUGCAGUAGAUGUGGACUGCUCUGGACCUUGGCAGUCAAGAGGAAGAGAGGGAAGGAAAGCCCUUUUAUAGUUACUAGUUCCCUUUUGAUCACACAUCCCAGCAUGAACUGCUUCAAAGAAAUAGCAUGAAGAGUGGUUAGACGCCCCCACGGGCCCGCAGCAGCCCAUUCAACAAGAAGCAAAAGUAAAACUGCUUCUGGUGGAAUCAGCAACAUUAUAGUUCACCUGCGGGGGCAUCAGGCUUUUACUGCUUGCCUUGGGAGUGGCUCAUCUCAUUUUCUUUAGGAAAGUGAGAUCCAAAGCCCUGACUUAGAAACAAAAGUUUUGGAACACAAACUCUUUGUAAAUUAGGUGAUCCCUAAACUUAAAACAUCCAGGCGAGAUGAAAGACCCCUUAAAAAAGAAAUUUCUAGCCGGGUGCUGUGGCUUAUGCCUGUAAUCCCAGCACUUCGGGAGGCUGAGGUGGCAGGAUUGCUUGAGGCUAGGAGUUUGACAUCAGUCUGGGCGCCAUAGGGAGACUCCUGUUUCUACAAACAUUUUAUAAAAAAUUAGGGCAUGAUAGUGCAUACCUGUAGUCUCAGCUACUCAGGAGGCUGAGACAGGAGGAUCCUGUUGAGCCCAGGAGUUGGAGGCUGCAGUUAGCUGUAAUCACACCACUGUGCUCCAGCAGCCUGGCUGACACAGCAAGACUCUAGGAAACAAACAAAAAACCCCAAAAAACAGAAAAAAUAAAUUUACUGAUUAUUUUAAUAUCAUGUGGUAGAAAGCAUUCCCUUUUUCGGGCUGUGUAGCACACUCUUAUUGGAAGGGAAGGCAUAGAUGCUUUGGGUACUCUGAACCAGGGCUCUGGAGCCUUCUCAAAGCCGUUGAAAUGGUUCUUCCGAUGACAUUUUGAGUGGGAGCCCCUACUGAGAAGACAACAACAUGGAGCUACCGUGAUUGAAGCAGGGGAGCGGGGGCAAGCCCCUGGCAUCUCCAAACCCCCCCGACUCUCCUCAUCUUCCCACCCCCAGAGCCUUAAGGAAACCUGGUCUUCUGUAGAGCAUGGUUUUGAAAAAGGCUGCUUAAAAUGAAGACAAAACAAUAGCUACUGCCCACUUAGUUGUUUAUGUGCUUGGCUUAGCUAUUUGCAAUCAUGUUGAAAAUAAGAGGGAUUUGGGGCUCACUGUGCUCUUAAAUGGAGUAUGUGUAAUUUAUGAGGGCAGAUACGAUGAAAGAUGGAAAAUGAUAAUGGAGAGAAUGCAAAUCAUUCUGGAACCUUUGAGUCUUUCUUUUGUAAUCUAUGUUGAUUCUUUUUUAAUCUUCCAGGUUUCUGCAGAGGCAUGAAAACGUGGUUCAUAGGAAGUACGAUAAAUGAUAGUAGUAAGGGUUUUCGACCCUUUAAUCACAGGGACCUGGUGUUCUACUCUCAACCCUCCUGAGAUGACCUGCAUCCUUUUCAUCUGUUUCCCAAGGCCUGGAAAGUUGGUCCUUUGAUUCCUUCCUGGCCCACCCUACUUCCCUUUCCAUCAUUCCCAUAGCUGACGGUGGAGGGAGGUGUGAGUGCUGUAUUUUGGGUGGGCAGGCUCUAGGCUGUUUGUUAAGAGUAAGUGGUUCAGAGUCUGGUAACUGGCCCUUGUAUUAGGCGUUUCAAUAUAUAGUCUAUCUAUCGAGGAGGAUGUUUUAAAAGUAUUAAAUCAGGCUGGGCACAGUAGCUUAUGGCUAUAAUCCCAAUGCUUUGGUAGGCUGAAGCAGGAGGAUCACUUGAGGCCAGGAUUCAAGAUCAGCCUAGGCAACAUAGGGAAACCAUUGUGUUUGCCAAAAAAAAAUAACAAAUAAAAAUAAAUAAGCUAGGCAUGGUGGCUCAUGCUUGUAGCCCCAGCUACUUAGGAGGCUGAGGCAGAAGGAUCGCUUGAGGCCAGGGGUUCAAGGAUGCAGUGAGCUGUGAUCAUGCCACUGCACUCCAGCCUGGGUGACAGAGUGAGACCCUGUCUCUAAAAUUAAAAUAAAUAAAUAAAUAUAUAUAUACACAAUCAAUGCAUUUUUCAUCUUUCUCUCACAUAAAUCAUGCUCUGCCAUCCUGCUUCACACUUGUGGCCCCAGAGAGAGAAACAGAGUGAAGAGUGAGUGGCACUCUGGGAAGGAGGGAAGAUGGUCCCACUUGAAGGGGGGCACCUACCCUACUCCCACUUCUGGCCAUGGUAGAUUGUACGAAGCAAGCAGAAAAUCGGAGACUGAAACAUGACCUCCUCUCUCUCUGCUGACUGCAGGCUCAGAGAUGAAAGUUGGGAGAGGCAGAUUAAACUGCCAAAAGCAGAGAAAACCACCCCACAAAAUGUAUUCCCAAUCUCCUCCCACCUCAGUGGCAGACUUGGGGCCUCUGCAGCAUGGCAGGCAAAGUAAGAAUGUGGGUUGCAUUUCCCAGAAUCUUAGUCUCUCCCAUAGUGUGGAAGGCGAUGGCAGCUGCAAUGUGCCUUGUAGAAGGAUGCUGAGGUGCUUGCUGGGAGCUGCCAGGGGCAUUGCCAUUGCAGGAACAGUGUGGCCCUGGGGCCAGGGGUGGAUGUGCAGGUGGGGAGUAGAGGUUAGACCUCAACGAGAAGCAUGGAAGGAAGUGUCUUCAGGGGGUACCGCUAGGCUGUUCCUGAGCCAAGGAAGAACACACCACAGGGUUACCAGCCACAGAUGCCAACAGAUGCCAACAGAUGCCACAGAUGCCAACAGAUGCCAGCCACAGAUGCCAACAGGGUGCCUGGCACCUGAGAGGACAGGAGACACCACUGAGGCCAAAGGAGUUCGAGGAGAGAAGGAGGGAAUGUGGGCAUGGGUCCCAGGCUUUCUUCUUCCUUCAUUCACACACUCCAGGACAUCAUCUCAGAGGGGAACCAGGAAGCAGGAGGAAAUGGGAAUUGACCUAAGCUGACUGUUUCAGUUGUUGAAUGGACUCAAUGCAACCGAUGGAACUAAAUUUAGUUCUUUCCACUUCCGUGUGGUACGGACUUGUAAAGAAUCACAGGGCAGCUCUAACACAUAAAGAAGCUUGGUUUUCUUUUGUAUCAGAAUACGAGUACAUCGUAAAUAAGUUGCUGACCUGUUGUAUACGCUUUGAUUUUAUUGGGUAAAUAUAGCACUAGACCAGCCACCCAGCGAUCUGGGCUCUCCCCCUGUCCCUGCCACUAAGUGUGACUUUGGGCACUCCUAACCUUUUUCAGGGCAUAAGAUGUAGGUUGUAGUAAAAUUCCUUCCAGUUGUAAUAGUCUCUGAUUUUAGUACAAAAAUGUUCUGCAAUAAUGUCUCAAUGUAGCAAUAAAAGAACUUGAAAAAAAACUGCCAUUAUUUUUUCUUUUCUGCCAAAAUAGCAAUUGUCAGGCCUGCCAUUUCAUUUGACCAUUCUCUAAAUAGCUCCUUCCCUGGACUGGUCUCAGAUAUUGGCUGAAGGUCAUAAUUGGGAGGUCACAUAGAUUUGAGGGAAGUUGAUGGGCAAAUCAGUUUCACAUUGGAAGAUGUUUAAAGAAUGGCACAGGACGAAAGACAAGAAUAGCUACAGUCAUGCUGUUCAUUCACUGAUAGCAACUCAUCAUUUAACUCAGUUGUCGAGCUUCAGUAACCUACGUUCAAAGUCAUUUAUGCCAUGUUACAUGACUUCCUAAUUAGCUCAGUAGAUAUUUUUCAAGUUUUCUAUGUAGAAGUAGAGUAACUCUAUAUAUUUGUAUACUUUUAUGAAAUGUCUUAUUUUAGUUUUACUUCCUAAUGCUUUCUUAUUUUUUUUUGAAUGGCUUUGCUUGAUUAUGUGGUAGCUUUUGAACUUCAAAAGUUGGUCUUGGCUGGGUGUGGUGGCUCAUGCCCGUAAUCCCAGUGCUUUGGGAGUUCGAGGUGGGAGGAUGGCUUGAGGCCAGGAGUUUGAGACCAGGCUGGGCAACAUAGCAAAACCCUGUUCUUGCAAAAAAAAAAAAAAAUUAAAAAAUUCGCUGGGCAUGGUAGCACACACCUGUAGUCCCACCUACUCAGGAGACUGAUGUAGGAGGAUCGCUUGAGCCCAGAAGGUCGAGGUUGUAGUGAGCUGUGAUUGUGCCACUGCACUCCAGCCUGGUCGACAGAGCUAUACCUUGUCUCAAAACAAAAUGAAACAAAACAAAAACAAAAGCAAACAAACAAAAACCAUAUAUCUCAAUUCAGCAUGUCUCUGUGAUCCCUUAUACAGAGGAGCUGAUCUAAAGCAAUCCCAUUUCAUUAAAUUAACAGGCUCAUUAGGGAACUAUUCCUUAAUACCCUUAAUCAACACUCUUAAUUUCCUAACAAUGUAUUUUUUGAAAGGAGGACACUACUUAGACACUACUGUCUCGUAAUGGCCUUAAACAACAAAACCAAAUUUAUAGGACAAUAUAGAAUUCAGAAAAGGCCUCUUGGAGAUAACUCUAGGGGUAACCAGCAGCCUGCGGUAGCCCUUAUUGUGCCCUGAAUGUUUAAACUCUCAUGAAGUACAUAUAUGUGUGCUUAAAAAUUAUAUAUUUUAAGCAGAAAUUAUCUAGCCUACUUGUCAUUUUCCUUUACCUCAGAACUUUGUUUAGAGCACCCAUUAGCUUCAGAAGGACCUUCCCACCGGAAUUCUCUGGGGGCCUUGCAAAAGGAUAAAAACAGGCUCAAGAAAUUCUGUAGAGAAAAGAUGACUAUGUUAACAUCAUUCUUUGAAAAAGCUUCCGUUUGGGACAAUUGUAUUGUAUUCUGAAAUGAGAUACUUGGGCUUCCAAAAUAUGGGUUGUGCUUUGUAAAAUGGAGUUUUUCUCAUUACAAAAUGUUGGAAGAGAGCAAUUAGAAUUUCCUUCUCUGCCUCCUUCCCUCUCUCUUGAUUUUUGGUGAAGUCAAGGGUCAGGAUGAUGCUAAAUCAGAAAUUAAGGCAACACAAAUUUGAUCCCAACUGGUAGAGCUGCUCUGGACCCCUUUUGACUGACACUGAGCUCCUGUUUCUGUGGAAUUUUUCUUAUUUACAGGAAUCCAUGAUCUGUGAAUGUCUUCUAAGAUAAAUCUAAUAAGCAUCUUUAGCUACUGAGUUAGCUUCCUAAGCACACAGUAUUUUAGACACCACACAACUAAAUAUACCAAUUCCAAGCGAUUUACUUAUACAAAAAAGUGAAAUAUAGUAAAACCAAGAAUUCCAUUCUAUUUUUAAUUAGGCAGUCAUAGAGCCUCAAUACUGAUUCUUUUAAAAACCUCUAGAAUGGCUUUAAUGCUUAUAAACCAUUAAAAUUAAAACCAAAGUAGCUCUUAACUAUAUUUCUGCUAUUGGACAGAGAACAUAUCUGUUAUAUAAGUUUUCCUUAGAAUUGGAUAAUUUCCAAGGCUUUGAAUCUUUUUAUUCUAGAAUAUUUUAUUCUUCAUAGGAAUACCACUUAAUGUCUUAGGAGUGUGUAUGUAUAUGGGUUUUUUAUAUACAUAUAUAAUAAAUAUUAUAUGUAAUAUACAUGUAUGUAGAUAUACAUAUAAUAUACAUACAUUACAUACAAUAUGCAUACAGUAGACACCCCUUAUUUGCAGGGAAUAUGUUCCAAGAACCCUAGUGGAUGUCUGAAAACUGCAGAUAGUACCGAACCUUAUAAAUACUGUUGUUUCCUAUGUGUAUAUAUCUACAAUAAAGCUUAAUUUAUAAAUUAGGCACAGGAAGAGAUUAACAACAAUAACUAGUUUACAUUCCCACCAGCGGGUUUUCACUGCAUCCACGCCAACAUCUAUUAUUUUUUGAUUUUUUGAUUAUGGCCAUUCUUGCAGGAGUAAGGUGGUAUCGCACUGUGGUUUUGAUUUGCAUUUACCAGAUCAUUAGUGAUGUUGAGCAUUUUUUCAUAUGUUUGUUGGCCAUUUGUAUAUUUUCUUUUGAGAAUUGUCUAUUCAUGUCCUUAGCUCACUUUUUGAUGUAACCAAAUACCAUCUGUUCCCCAAAAAUCUGUGGAAAAAAAUUUAAAAAUAAAAAACCACAACAAUAACUAAUAGUAAGAUAGAAUAAUUUCAACAGUAUGCUGUAAUAAAAGUUAUGCAAAUGUGGUCUCUCUCUUUCUCGAAAUAUCUUAUUGUACUUUACUCACCUAUUUUCAGCCCACAGUUGACUGUGUAAAGUGAAACUAGGGAUAAGAGGGGACUACUGUACAUAUAUAUAGAUAUGCAUACAAUAUGCAAACAUAUUCAUUAUGCAUAUAAAUAUAUGCAUGUUUUUACAUACAUUUGUAUGACAUCUACCUAUACAUAUAUACACACACACGUAUAUAAUAAUAUAACAAAGUUAACUUGGAAGGACAAUGUUCGGGAAAGUCUUGAAAACCUGAAAGACCAAGAAAACAUGAAGUGUCUUUUCUUUUUUGUUAUGAAUGGCUAAGUAUGAUUUAAUUCACUGCUGGACACUCUAACAGUCACCUUAUUGCAAUUUAAGUUCCCCAUCUGUGAAUUAGCUUUGCAGUCUCUGUGUCUUUUAGUUAUUCCAUAUGUUUUAAGAAAUAGCGAAUGUGAAAAACUGUAACAGAAACAUGUAGUGUUACUUCUGGAAGUGUGGUAAUGAGAUCUUUUUCAAAAUAUUACUGAUUCCAGAGGAUAGAUCACUCAUUCUACUAUAUAACAAGCACAGAUGUAAUUCAAGAGGCUUUACCUGUUUUAGUGGGUCUUUCUCUGUGUAGUUUGUUCAUUAAUUUAAGGUUUUUUAUGUCUGUUUUCAUCUUUGUCCUUUGCUGUAGAUUUUAAACUAGAGGCCAGUGAUCCUAUUUAAUUUAAUGGUUACUAAUAAAUAACCACACUAAGCAAUCGCCUGGAUGAUAUUGUGCCGUCAGAUGAUAAGGGUGAUAAUGUAUGAAAUGAAAUAGAAAGAAUGGAAGGUAGUUUCAUAAAAAGCAAGAGUCUUAUAAGAAUGAAGAACAAGACACUUUUCUGACAGGUGGACAGAUGCUUUUCCAGUUCUUUCUUGGCAUAAAUUACAAAUGGAGAAAAACCUUGGUAUUUUUGGUUUCAAACCUUUACUAGCAAAGAAAUCUCACUGAAGGACCCUCCAUACUUCCUGUAACUUAUCUGUAUAAGGCUGCUUUAAUUAUUUAUUGGUUUAAUCUACAUUUAUUGGAUACCUCCUUUGGCCCAGCCCUGCCAGCUCUUGGGUGCGGGUUGUGUGAGGCGAGAGACCAGCGGCUGUGGGGAGAGAGGGUGAAUGGAGGAAAGACCUGACCCCUGACUUAGAGGUGUUUAUUGGGUCCCCUCAAAAUAUAUUCUCCCAAAUUCUGUGAACAGUUUUUUUUUUCUGUAUUUCAUUCGGCUUUCUCCUCUCAUUCUCCACUGAAAUGUUUAUCCUUUCUUUGAAAGAAACCCCAAAGUGACUCUUUUCCUCUUUCCAUGGAUCAGAUGCCAAAUUCUUUGAGAAAUAUGUAGAAUAAGAAAGGAUCCUUUACCUGGUUUGGAAGGAGCUCUUUCUGUUUUUCUUUCCCCACCCAACACCUGUGCCUUUUUGUCAACUAUUUAUAGAACUCGCUCCUUCUUAAAAUAAUGUGGAUCGAAAAUGGUUUGAUUGCUUCAUGGACACAGGAAGACUUCUCCAAAAAAAGCAACUUUCUUCUUAUUGUUAUCCUUGGCAAAAUUAAAUCAUGUCGUAAACAAUAUCCCAAUCCUCUUGUCAUCCAUCAGACUCUAGAAGGGUGGCUCCUAAUGCUUUUCGGGUCUCGGACCACUGUGGAAAUUUGGUGAAAGCCAUGCAACUCCUCCUUUGGAAAAGUUAUGGUAGCCUGCUUUAGAAUAUAAAUGCAGAAGUUCAGGGUAUAGUGAACUCCAUCAGUGGAACCCUAGAAAGUCUCAAGCUUUAGCAGGAGUGGCUGGGCUGGCCAAGGGAAGGAACAGGGAAGAAGGACUGGUUGGAUUUACAGGUCUCACGGAGAGUGGUGGCAUUGUCACAGAAAGAUUAUGGACUCCCUGCCUUCUAAGCACAAUUUUAUUUUAUCUCCAUUAAAAUAUUAACUCUUUUGGAAACAUGAACUCUUACUGCCUUAAAAAAAGCAAUCUAGCAACAAGUGUUAAAACCUGAAAGACACAAAUACGUUUUGUUCUGGCAAUUCCACUCCUGGGAAUCUCUCCCAUGGAAACAAAAUUAUCAGCAUAGAAAGCGUAAGUACAAGGAUGUCUAUGACAGCACCGUUUGUAGUAGCACAAAACUGGAAACAGAGCGAAAGGUCAUCUGCAAGAGAAUAGUGAGUUACAUUUUGAUAAUCUGCACCAAAGAAUAUGAUGCGAUCAUUUAAAGGAAGGAAAUAGAGCUCUAUAGCCACAUGCCUUGGAGGUAUGCCUGUGAAGUGUUGCUCAGUGAGAAACACAGAUGUAGAAAAGCGUAGAGAUGACCAAACCCUCUGUGUGUGCCUGCGUUUGCGUAUCUAUGUCUAUAUAUGUUUAGCUCUGAUUAGGAAUAUAUGUAUAGGUAGAAAAAUAUGGAUUAAUAUAUUCCAGGUUACUAACAUUGGUUCUUGGGGCUUACAGGGUGAGCCUAGCAAAUAAAGGAAAAAAAAGAUUGCAAUACUUAAAAAAAAAAAAAAGUGUUAGUAUGUCAGUAAUUCAUUGUAUCAGAUUAUACUUAUGGGUGGGUAGAUGUAAAAAUAAAUAAAAUAGUGAUUUUAUUUAAUUUAUUAUUAUUAUUGUUUUGAGACACUUGCUCUGUCACCCAGGCUGAAGUGCAGUGGCAUGAUCACAGCUCACUGCAGCCUUGACUUCCUGGGCUCAAGUGGUCCUCCCACCUGAGCCUCCCGAGUAGCGGGGAUCACAAGUGUGCACCACCAUGCCUGGCUAAUUUUAUUUUAUUUGAAAAGAUGGGGUCUACCUAUGUUGCCCAGGCUGGUCUCGAACUCUUGGGCUCAAGCGAUCCCCCCAUCUUGACCUUGCAAACUUCUGGGAUUACAGGUGCAAGCCACUGUGCCUGGCCAGAUAAUGGUUUUAAAACAGAUUUGCUUAUGUACAUUUUAAAUUUUACUGUUUUACUUCUUCACAGUCAGUAACACUGAGGCUUUACCAUUCAGGCUGCUGGGGACUAAUCUGGCCAAUUUGACCAGCUGGGGGUCUCCCUGCUGAUUUCUUAGAUGGGUAUUCUGUGACUUAUUGCUCUAAAGGCAUUAGGUCUUUUAGCAAAUGUUUAUUGGAUGUCUAUUUUAUGUCAUAUACUAGGCCUUGUGCUCCUUAAAGAACUAAGGUGUGAGUGUGUGUGUGUGUCUGCACAAGUCAGGGACUGUUAACAGCUGCAAUUGAACUUUCUGUCCUCAAUUUGGUAUUUGUCUGUUUAUUUGGUUGUGAGCGUGCAAAAUGGAGGGCAUAAGGUGUUACUCUCAGGCCAGUAAGAACCUAAGAAUUUGUUUGGGUGAGGUCUUGAUUUCCUUUUUUGCCUCUAUUAAAUGGCCUACCCUUAAUUCACCAGUUUCUCCAUAGAAAUGCCUAAAGACCUUGAGAGGUUAAUACUGAAAGGGUUUUAGAGGAAAAAGAAAGGUGAGAUGCUUUCUGUGAGUCAGUGUUUCUCCAAAUAGUCUUUUCCUGCCUACCUGUAUGCAUCACAGUUACCUAGCGAAUAUGGUGAGAAUGCUCAUUCAUGGGCCUGGCCCCAGACCCACUGACAGGGAGGCCCAGAAAUCUGCAUUGUUAAUUCUCCAGGUGAUUCUUUUUUUUUUUGAGAUGAGUCUCGCUUUGUGCCCCAGGCUGGAGUGCAGUGGUGCAAUCUCGACUCACUGCAAGCUCCACCUCCCGGGUUCACACCAUUCUCCUGCCUCAGCCUCCCGAGUAGCUGGGACUACAGGCACCUGCCACCAUGCCUGGCUGAUUUUUUGUAUUUUUAGUAGAGAUGGGGUUUCACUGUGUUAGCCAGGGUGGUCUCGAUCUCCUGACCUCGUGAUCUGCCCGCCUCGGCCUCCGAAAGUACUGGGAUUACAGGCGUGAGCCACCGUGCCCGGCCCAGGUGAUUCUUAUUUACGCUUGUUAAUAUUUGAGAACCAGUUCCAUAGAACGUCGUCCCAAAUAAUGAACACUCCUGGCAUUUUUUUUCCAAAAUUUUACUCUUUUAAUAAAUUUUUCCAAUAUUUCAAUGGCUUUGAAUUUUUAUUUUUUUAUUAAUGAUGCAUUUAUUCAUAACGAUGUCUGCAUUUUAGAGAAGUGUUCAUGAAGAAGAAACUUCUUCAAACAACACUGUUGUUACCAAAUAUCCACUGCAUUCUUAAUGUAAAGGAAUCAAUGUAGGUCAGUUAAAGGCUAGAAUGGUUUAAAAAAAUCAACAAUCUGAUGCUCAAAUUCAAAUGUCUUUAAUAUACACGUACUUAUGUGUAUGCGUAUAAGAAAAAAUUUCAGGUUACAAUGCAUUCUGUUGUUUUGAACUACAGGAAUCAAACCAGAAUUUUUAGCCGUGAUACACAUUUGAUACAUUCAUGGAUUCUUGAUUUUUUGGACGACUUUUGGUUUGUUUAUAAAGUUCCAUAAUAGAGACAAGAACUGAAAGGGUUUUUCAGAUAUUUUUUAUUCCCUUUCAUACAUUUCUUCCCCAAGAAAUUUAGAUACGUUUUGAGAUUUUCAUAAAAUCUUAAAAUAAUUGAAUAGUUUAAGCAAAGGCUAGUUCCUAUGAAAAGCAGAAUUAUAUGACAAUUUUCCUACAUUCCUCAUGUGAUUGUACCUGUGCAGAGAACAACCCUAUUCUGAUUAGAAAGAUCCUGCCUGAGAACCUUUUAGCUUCACAGCAGGAUGUGUACAACCGAAGUCGAUUCAAGAAACUCAUGACGUCAUCCCUCAGUCAAUAAUCAUUGAUUGAAUAGAGUUGGUUUCAGAUGUAGGUAUUAGGUACCAGUAGGGAUACAGAAGGAAAAUUCAUGGUUUCCGUCUUUGAAGAAUAAUCUGGUUCAGAAAAUAGUUCAAAUGUGCAUGUUUUGACAUGGCUUCAUAACAAAAGAUCCUUUCAAUCAAAAUGCUAGGGAAACCAGCAUUAAAGGAGAGAUUGUGGGGCAGGCGAGGUGUUGGCAGCAGGGACAUGGGUUGUCAGGAGACAAUGGAACAGAAACAAGACAUGAGAAAAAGUGUGAGCUUAAUCCAUAAAGCUGUUUCCCUCCAAAGGUGUCAGCUGCAUGGCGUGGGAGGUCAGGCAAGUGGGUCUGUGUUCCCCAGGGUGGGAGAAGCAUUAGUAGAAACAGGUGAUGAAUUCCUUAAUUAGGAUAGGGAAACACUGCAGAAGAGCUGUGGUCUAGGGAUUUUAUGAAAUGCAAAGCUUGGAAAAUUAAAGAAGCCCAAUGUGAAGAAGUUAGGAGGCAGGAUCAAGGUGGCUGUGAAAACAGAGAAGAAAAACUUAGAGCUCCUUUUGGAGAAAAUGGGAUAUUAGGGCUAAAUUUGAAAAAAAAAAAAAAAAAAAAGCCACA